AGCGGAGGAAAAGAAACCAACAGGGAUUGCCCUAGUAACGGCGAGUGAAGCGGCAACAGCUCAAAUUUGAAAUCUGGCCUCGGCCCGAGUUGUAAUUUGCAGAGGAUGUUUCUGGCGCGGUGCCUUCCGAGUUCCCUGGAACGGGACGCCACAGAGGGUGAGAGCCCCGUAUGGUUGGACACCAAGCCUGUGUGAAACUCCUUCGACGAGUCGAGUAGUUUGGGAAUGCUGCUCUAAAUGGGAGGUAAAUCUCUUCUAAAGCUAAAUACCGGCCAGAGACCGAUAGCGCACAAGUAGAGUGAUCGAAAGAUGAAAAGCACCUUGAAAAGGGGGUUAAACAGUACGUGAAAUUGUUGAAAGGGAAGCGCUCAUGACCAGACUUGUGCCGGGCGGUUCAUCCGGGGUUCUCCCCGGUGCACUCCGCCCGGUUCAGGCCAGCAUCGGUUCUCGUUGGGGGAUAAGAACGGUAGGAACGUGGCCCUCCCUCGGGAGGGUGUUAUAGCCUGCCGUACGAUACCCUGAUGGGGACCGAGGUUCGCGCUCCGCAAGGAUGCUGGCGUAAUGGUCAUCAGCGACCCGUCUUGAAACACGGACCAAGGAGUCGUCCAUUAGAGCGAGCGUUUGGGUGUAAAACCCGCACGCGUAAUGAAAGUGAAAUUAGGUGAGAGCUUCGGCGCAUCAUCGACCGAUCCUGAUGUUCUCGGAUGGAUUUGAGUAAGAGUUUUAACGGACGGACCCGAAAGACAGUGAACUAUGCUUGUAUAGGGUGAAGCCAGAGGAAACUCUGGUGGAGGCUCGCAGCGGUUCUGACGUGCAAAUCGAUCGUCAAAUAUGAGCAUGGGGGCGAAAGACUAAUCGAAC
rnacentral:rRNA from 1 species